rnacentral:lncRNA from 1 species
GGUUUCCAGGUUUGCCUGUUUGUGUGGAGUCUGACGUAAGUCCAACGAUUGGCAGUCGGUUUCCUGUUUGUGUUUUGUUUGGCGUGCGUUAGCCGAGCUACGAGUGCUCUGAUUCUUCUCUGGUUAGAGAAGAUACGUAUGCAUAGGGUGCAACAUCCUAGCGAGCACGUUUCCCCUGUCCCCGAACUACGUCGACUCUGAUGUUUGUGCGAACAAACUACGUAGGCCCAGGAUGCGACAUCCUGCC